GAAGAAUCCUUUUCCAGUGCCUUCUGUGCCACAUGAAGCCAAGACAAGAAGACCUGAAGUUAGGACAAGUUUGCUGCUGAACAAAGCCCAGUGAGGGGACCAAGAACCAGCCUGACAUCAUCCACGGAAUAAGUCAGAAUUUACAGUGACCCAGACUGGAACCAAGUGCCUUAACAGGGUCUCCAGGAUGUAAAUAGUUCCAAAUUCUCUCUUCCAUGUAAACCUUACAAAUAGUUCUAUUUUAUUUGUUGUUUAGUGCAAAGUACCUGCUCUUUUUUUGUUUGUUUUAUUUUAAAUGCAGUUAUAAAUUAUUUUGGUUACUUUUGGAAA